CGGAGGGGCUAGCGUUGUUCGGAAUUACUGGGCGUAAAGCGCACGUAGGCGGCUUUGUAAGUUAGAGGUGAAAGCCCGGGGCUCAACUCCGGAAUUGCCUUUAAGACAGCAUCGCUAGAAUCGUGGAGAGGUGAGUGGAAUUCCGAGUGUAGAGGGUGAAAUUCGUAGAUAUUCGGAAGAACACCAGUGGCGAAGGCGACUCACUGGACACGUAUUGACGCUGAGGUGCGAAAGCGUGGGGAGCAACCAGGAUUAGAUACCCUGGUAGUCCACGCUGUAAACGAUGAUGACUAGCUGUCUGGGCGCUUAGCGUUCAGGUGGCGCAGCUAACGCGUUAAGUCAUCCGCCUGGGGAGGUACGGCCGCAAGGUUA
rnacentral:rRNA from 1 species